AUGUUUCUGAAGCUGGUAAAGACUCUGACUCUGAAGAAGAUACAAAAGGAGAAGAUGAUUUUGACUCUGACUCAGAUGGUGAUCCAGACUCUGAAGACAAUCAAGGUUCUGGAGAAAGUCCAAAUUCUGAAGCAAGUGCUUCUGAAGGGGAAAGUUCUGGUGUCCAAAGUUCUGAAGGUCCAGUUCAGAGGCAACAAAGAGUCAGAAGCAUCCCAAGAAGAUUUUCAGAGUUUGACAUGUUGCGAGACACUGAAGUAG